GACUUGCUUGAUGGGUUGUUUAGAAAAAGAGGUUGUUGCCUUGUCCAGUCAUCAGAGAGGCUUCAUGCAGCAGCAGAUGGGAACUUGUGCAGAGACCCACAGCCAGUCAUCAUGCAGAAAGUCUAAAUUAAAGAUCUAAAUUGGGUCCUUCACCUCAUAUAUUGUAGAACCCACCCGAAGAAGGGGAAGAAAGACUGUAGAAGUCAGAGAGGAUGGAGAACACUAGGAGAUCAUGACCCACCAAUUGGUCUAAGGAAGGCUCAUAUAGACCCACAGAGACUGAAGCAACAAGCACUGAGCCUCCAUGGGUGUGCAAGAGAUCCUCUGCAUAAAUGCUUUUGUCCUAGA